rnacentral:tRNA from 1 species
ACUGUCUUAGCAAAUUUUAAUGCGUCAGAAUUAGGAUCUGAAGAUGGAGGGAUAGUCCCUCAGGCAGUA